AUGGCGGAAGCUUCAGCUCUCAAAUUUGGUCUAACACUGGUGCAGAGGGUGGGAUGCCAUCGCCUUAUUAUUAACUCAGAUAAUCUGGAGGUGAUUGAAACCAUGCAGGAUGGAGGACGGUCCGUGGGAGCGGUAGCGGCAAUUUUCGAUGCUUGUUUCCAUUGCACUUGUGAAUUCAUUAGCACCAGAUUCGAACACUGUAAUAGAGAAGCAAAUAAGGUAGCUCAUGAGCUCGCUAGAUCAGCUAGAUUUUCUUCCACUUCGGAUUGGUUUGAGGAGCCUUUAAAUGAAAUUGUAAUGAUUCUCACAAACGAUGUACUGGUUAUUUCCAAUGAAUAA
rnacentral:rRNA from 1 species